AUUGAACGCUGGCGGCAUGCCUUACACAUGCAAGUCGAACGGCAGCGGGGGAGAAGCUUGCUUUUCCUGCCGGCGAGUGGCGAACGGGUGAGUAAUACAUCGGAACGUGCCCUGUAGUGGGGGAUAACUAGUCGAAAGAUUAGCUAAUACCGCAUACGACCUGAGGGUGAAAGUGGGGGACCGCAAGGCCUUGCGCUCUUUGAGCGGCCGAUAUCAGAUUAGCUAGUUGGUGGGGUAAAAGCUCACCAAGGCGAUGAUCUGUAGCGGGUCUGAGAGGAUGGUCAGCCACACUGGAACUGAGACACGGUCCAGACUCCUACGGGAGGCAGCAGUGGGGAAUUCUGGACAAUGGGGGCAACCCUGAUCCAGCCAUGCCGCGUGAGUGAAGAAGGCCUUCGGGUUGUAAAGCUCUUACGGCCGGGAAAAAAUCGCAUGGAUUAAUACUCUGUGUGGAUGAUGGUACCGGAAUAAGAAGCACCGGCUAACUACGUGCCAGCAGCCGCCGUAA
rnacentral:rRNA from 1 species